AUUUGUUUACAAUUAGCUUUUUUAUAUUGUUUUUAGCAAACUUUAGCUGUCUCGUUCGUGUGAAAGGUUCAGUUAAAAGUUUUUAAUAUUUUUAAUUUUUGGUAUUCGCAAAUCAGUUUUUUUAUUAAAAAACAACACACGUGUUUAACAAUGUAAAUUCUUCACUCACCAACAUGAAAAGGAAUCACUCACAUGGAGCCACAAAAAAAAUACACCUUUCACUUGCAAUGUUGCAUACCAUCAUCCGACGACUGUUGUUCCAGAAAAUACCCUUGUAGCUCACCCGGACUCUAAAGUUUCCAAGCUGCAGAGACAAGAAUCAUAAUUGCCUUCGAAGCAUUAGUAGAGAGUAUCUGUGCUUCUCUUCUAUCAAGGCGUGGUUGGUAAUUAACGACACGUUAAAGAACAUUGAUUUGGUGCGGAUUGUGGUAAAACGCUCACACAGUGGGUUGUAAAGCAAGACCCGGAGACAAAAUUUCCCUCCACCCACGAAUCUGAUAUCAAUUUUAUUGCCUUCAUAUGUCACAAGACAUCAAGAAGCUGGCCAAUGAAGGACAUCUCAAGUUUAGAUUAUAAUGGCACCUCUCAGCAGAGACUUUACUGGACCUAGAACCAUAAAAUAAUGAAUAUUAAUCAAGUAUGGAAUUUCCACUUUGUUGGAUGUCUUUUCGCCAUCUUGCCGGCAGCAUCAAUGUUUCACGCUCAUACCACUUCUGGCAGUUAUCUGCAAAAUACUGAACCAACUGCGAUUUUAUAGCUUGGUCAUUUUCGUUAGAUUUACCAUUCAAUGAGCUCAGCAAGUAUCGAAACAAAUGGUAGUCUGACGGUGCACAUGUAUCAACUGUUCCCAGCCAAUCGCUCUCAGUUUUUGGCGAGAGACCAAAGAUGUGUGCGGUCUAGUAUUGUCCUGGUGGAAUAUGGCACCUUUACUGGACCGAUUCCGGCCGCUUCUCCCUAAUGGACAUAUUAAAUUUCUUCUUUUGAUGAAUAUCAGCAUUAGAAGUGGUUUGUGGCGCUUCAUCAUGCUUAAACAAUGAUUGGUUGACGUUAUUGUAAGCAAUCCAUUUUUCAUAUCCAAUUAUGAUUUUCUUCAAAAACAGAUCAUAUUCAUUGCGUUUAAGAUGCUUAUCAGAAGCGUUGAAUUGGAUUGUUAAAUGAAUAUCUUUAAAUUUAUCUGGUACCCAAAUAUCAAAUUUUUCAUCAGUUCCAGACGUCGUAUAUGAUCAUGAGCGUUUGAUUUGGUAUACUUAACUUCUAUCCAAUCUCACACACACACAGUUACAUGACGAUCCGAUUCAUUUAAAGUCUUUAUAUAAUCAUCAUUUGGUCCAAAUUCCAAAUGUCAGGCAUGCUUUUUUUUGGUCAUCAUCAUACAUCAAUUUGGCUGGAAUGUAAAUGUAUCAAUGGUCCAAAGUAUACCACUGUAAGCCAUUUUCUUGAAGACAUCCCUAAAGAUUUAGAAAACGGCAUAACAAUAUCCGAAUUAUUCAUUGAAUAUAUGA